AACGAACGCUGGCGGCAUGCUUAACACAUGCAAGUCGAACGAGACCUUCGGGUCUAGUGGCGCACGGGUGCGUAACGCGUGGGAAUCUGCCCUUUGCUACGGAAUAACUCAGAGAAAUUUGUGCUAAAUACCGUAUAAUGUCGCAAGACCAAAGAUUUAUCGGCAAAGGAUGAGCCCGCGUAAGAUUAGCUUGUUGGUGGGGUAAAGGCCUACCAAGGCGACGAUCUUUAGCUGGUCUGAGAGGAUGAUCAGCCACACUGGGGACUGAGACACGGGCCCAGACUCCUACGGGAGGCAG
rnacentral:rRNA from 1 species